GGUAGUAUAGCUCAGUCGGUUAGAGCGUGCGGCUGUUAACCGCAAGGUCGAGAGUUCAAGCCUCUCUACUACCG